rnacentral:rRNA from 1 species
GACGAACGCUGGCGGCGUGCUUAACACAUGCAAGUCGAACGGAAAGGCCCUGCUUUUGUGGGGUGCUCGAGUGGCGAACGGGUGAGUAACACGUGAGUAACCUGCCCUUGACUGUGGGAUAACUUCAGGAAACUGGGGCUAAUACCGGAUAGGAGCUCCUGCUGCAUGGUGGGGGUUGGAAAGUUUCGGCGGUUGGGGAUGGACUCGCGGCUUAUCAGCUUGUUGGUGGGGUAGUGGCUUACCAAGGCUUUGACGGGUAGCCGGCCUGAGAGGGUGACCGGCCCCAUUGGGACUGAGAUACGGCCCAGACUCCUACGGGAGGCAGCAGUGGGGAAUAUUGCACAAUGGGCGGAAGCCUGAUGCAGCAACGCCGCGUGCGGGAUGACGGCCUUCGGGUUGUAAACCGCUUUCGCCUGUGACGAAGCGUGAGUGACGGUAAUGGGUAAAGAAGCACCGGCUAACUACGUG